rnacentral:rRNA from 1 species
GACGGAUGGUGCAAGCGUUGCUCGGAAUCACUGGGCGUAAAGGGUGCGUAGGCGGCCGUGCAAGUCUGGCGUGAAAGCCCCGGGCUCAGCCCGGGAAGUGCGCUCGAAACUGCGCGGCUCGAGUGCCGGAGGGGAGAGUGGAAUUCCUGGUGUAGCGGUGAAAUUCGUAGAUAUUGGGAAGAACACCAGUGGCGAAGGCGGCUACCUGGUCCGGUUCUGACGCUGAGGUGCGAAAGCGUGGGGAGCAAACAGG